AUUGAACGCUGGCGGCAUGCUUGACACAUGCAAGUCGAACGGAAACGACAAGAGCUUGCUCUUGGGCGUCGAGUGGCGGACGGGUGAGUAACGCGUGGGAAUCUACCCAGUAGUGGGGGACAAGCCAGGGAAACUUGGUCUAAUACCGCAUAUCCUUUUAAGGAAAGAUGGCCUCUACUUGUAAGCUAUUGCUACUGGAUGAGCCCGCGUUAGAUUAGCUAGUUGGUGGGGUAAAGGCCUACCAAGGCAACGAUCUAUAGCUGGUCUGAGAGGAUGAUCAGCCACAUCGGGACUGAGACACGGCCCGGACUCCUACGGGAGGCAGCAGUGGGGAAUAUUGGACAAUGGGCGCAAGCCUGAUCCAGCAAUGCCGCGUGUGUGAAGAAGGCCUGAGGGUUGUAAAGCACUUUCAAUUGUGAGGAAGGGGUUAAGCUUAAUACGCUUGACUCUUGACGUUAACUUUAGAAGAAGCACCGGCUAACUCUGUGCCAGCAGCCGCGGUAAUACAGAGGGUGCAAGCGUUAAUCGGAAUUACUGGGCGUAAAGCGCGCGUAGGCGGCUAAUUAAGUCGGAUGUGAAAGCCCUGGGCUCAACCUAGGAACUGCAUCUGAUACUGGUUAGCUAGAGUUUAGGAGAGGGGAGUGGAAUUUCAGGUGUAGCGGUGAAAUGCAUAGAGAUCUGAAGGAACACCAGUGGCGAAGGCGACUCCCUGGUCUAAAACUGACGCUGAGGUGCGAAAGCGUGGGUAGCAAACGGGAUUAGAUACCCCGGUAGUCCACGCCGUAAACGAUGUCUACUAGUUGUUGGUCUCCUUGAGGGAUUAGUAACGCAGCUAACGCAUUAAGUAGACCGCCUGGGGAGUACGGUCGCAAGACUAAAACUCAAAGGAAUUGACGG
rnacentral:rRNA from 1 species